rnacentral:snRNA from 1 species
GGAUGUGAGGGCGAUCUGGCUGCGAUGUCUGUCACCCCAUUGAUCGCCAGGGUUGAUUUGGCUUAUCUGGCUGGCUAGGCGGGUCUCCCCUUCCUCCCUCAACGCUCCAUGUGCUUCCCUCCCGAAGCUGAGUGCUUGGUCGAAGAGGACGACCACCCCCCGAUGGAGGAGGACCGUUCCUCGGUCAAGGGUACAGGAGUAACUGCGCUCCCUGCUAGAACCUCCAAGUAAGCUCUCAAGAAACUAACGAACUAAAUUCCAGAAAGUCAUGACGUCUUUAUUGGAGUUCAGAGACUUAUAGAUACUUCUUCUAUCUUUCUGAAUAGUAGGAAGAGGACAAAUCUACCAG